rnacentral:rRNA from 1 species
UACAGAGGGUGCAAGCGUUGUUCGGAAUUAUUGGGCGUAAAGCGCGCGCAGGCGGUCCUUUAAGUCUGAUGUGAAAGCCCACGGCUCAACCGUGGAGGGUCAUUGGAAACUGGGGGACUUGAGUGCAGAAGAGGAAAGCGGAAUUCCACGUGUAGCGGUGAAAUGCGUAGAGAUGUGGAGGAACACCAGUGGCGAAGGCGGCUUUCUAGUCUGUAACUGACGCUGAGGCGCGAAAGCGUGGGGAGCAAACAGG